UGGAGCCUGGCGACUGCUUUGGGAAGUCCUGCUGGCAGGCACUCUGCCCCUGGGGGUGUGCAAAGAGUUGUCCAGUUACCUUGAUCUUCUCACAGCCUCCUCCCCAGGGCACCAGGAGAGACCAGGAUUGGAGGACGGUAAAGAACACACUUCCCAGAGGAUUCUUGGAGGUGGCUUCCUCCAGGCAGUAAAUCUACAGCCCAGGCUCCCUGCAUCUUAUGGCUCCAAUCACUUUGGAUCUCAUCGUCGCCUGCACAUUGCCAUACACAGGGAAGGAGAAGAGAUGGAGAAGGCAAAGACUUUCUGAAAGCCGUGGCUAAAAGCUGGCAUGUGUCACAUCAGCUCACAUUCCAUUGUAGAGACGGGGUUUCACCGUGUUAGCCAGGAUGGUCUUGAUAUCCUGACCUCGUGAUCCGCCCGCCUUGGCUUCCCAAAGUGCUGGGAUUACAGGCGUGAGCCACCGCUCCCGGCCUGGCAGGCAUUCUUGAGGCAAACGGGAAAUGGGUGAACGGGAGGAACAUUGGCAGCACUUGUGGUCUGCACCAAGAACUGAAUCGAAUUUCCAUGUGUUAUUGAAUGUUCACAAAGACCUUGUACAGCGAGUGUUACUACCUCUGGUCAAUGAUUCAACUCAAGGCUCAGAAAAGUCAAGUGUCUUGUCCAGGGACACUUAGUCAGAAGUGAAUCCAAGGUUUAAGCUCAAGUCUGCCUAACUCUGAAUUUCACAGCCUUUUGCUACAUAUGGCGAAUAAUAUAUCCCUGAGCACUAAAGGCAGACUCCAAGGAUCUUGUCUCUGCAAUCAUCAUUCUGGCCAUAAUUUAUGAAAAGCAACCCAAAGUAUGUGAUGUAAUAAAAAGUACUAUCUAUGAGUUUACCCUUCCAAAAAUUGAACUGAAUUCUGAGCUCUAAAUUUGGAAUCAAAAGAACUUUUCUCUGCACUAAUCAUUUGGAACAUCACUUAAAGAAAACAACGAAAAACUGGUGUCCCCUGAGAGAAAGCAAUACAAAACAUUAUGCAUAAAGAAAUCCUUCCAAAAAAUAAACCAAAUCCAGUCAAAUCUCUAGUUUUGACUCCUAGCUUACCGGAAAUACGUGAUGGGAAAAAAAUGAAAUGACACCACUAUGAUUCAAUCAGCCAAAUCCAGCAUAUGCAAAUUUCUACCAGAUAAAUGGUUUAGUUUCUUCCCCAAACAAAUGGCACAAGGAAACGGAGAUGGAGUUCCCCUCUGCCACCCAGACUGGAGUACAGUGGCGCGAUCCUGGCCAUCGCAACCUCCGCCUCCCAGGUUCAAGCGAUUCUCCUGCCUCAGUCUCUCAAGUAGCUGGGAUAUGGGCACCUGUCACCAUGCCCAGCUAAUUUUUUUAAAAUUUAUUUUUAGUAGAGAUGGGGUUUCACCAUGUUGGCCAGGCUGGUCUCGAACUCCUGACCUCAGGUGAUCCACCCACACUUUUUAUUGUUUGCCUACACUUUCUAGACUUGCUUCAUCAGCCUACUCCGUUUCUGGUUGAUAUGGUUUGGUUGUGUCCCCACUCAAAUCUUAUCUAGAAGUGUAAUCCCCAAGUCUCAAGGGAGGGACCUGGUGUGAGGUGAUUGGAUUGGGGGGUGGUUCCCGCCAUGCUGUUCUCAUGAUAGUGAGUGAGUUCUCAUGAGAUCUGAUGGUUUUAUAAGGCAGUUUUCCCUAUUCUUGCUCACUCUUCUCUCUCUUUCUGCCAUGUGAAGAAGGUCCUUGCUUCCCCUUCACCUUCUACCAUGAUUGUAAGUUUCCUGAGGCCUCCCCUCAGCCAUGCACAACUGUGAGUCAAUUAAACCUCUUUCCUUUAUAAAUUACUCAGUCUCAGGUCGUAUCUUUAUAGCAGUAUGAGAAUGGACUAAUACACUGGUCUAUCCUUCAUCCAAAUUAACUACCUGCACUGCAGUCCUUGUCUCAGGCUCUGCUUUGAGGGACCCCAACUGUGACAGCCGCAUUAGAAUGCAUCACAUACUGCAGUGAAAUUCUAGAGUGGGUGUUGUCAGGUGGUGAUGAUUGUUAGAUAUGUCAGUCUGUUUUCAGGCUGCUGAUAAAGACAUACCUGAGACUGGGUAAUUUAUAAAGGAAAAGGAGGUUUAAUGGACUCACAGUUCCACAUGGCUAGGGAGGCCUCACAAUCAUGGCAGAAGGUGAAAGGCACGGCUUACAGGGUGGCAGCAAGAGAGGAAAUGAGAACCAAGUGAAAAGGUUUCUGCUUAUAAAACCAUCAGCUCUUGUGAGACUUAUUCAUUACAAUGAGAACAAUAUGGGGGAAACUGCCCCCAUGAUUCAAUUAUCUCCCACCAGAUCCCUCCUACAACACAUGAGAAUUGUGGGUGCUACAAUUCAAGAUGAGAUUUGAGUGGGGACAAAGUCAAACCAUAUCAUUAGAUAGGACACUGGAGAAAGGCAAGAAAGAAAAGACAUCUGAAGAAUGAAGGGAGCCAAAGAAAUGCCAACAUUUUGCUUUUUGAAGAAAAGCUAAAUUAAAGUCAAAAUGGAUUUAUCAAUUUCCUUGGGUUCGUGAAUGUACAGAACUUUAUUAAGACUGUCAUGCUGUCAUCAUGGCUGGAUCUGAUACGGCCACCGUGGACCUUGAGGUGACCUCGGGAAUGGAGACAGUGCAUGGGAGAGAAUCACAUUGGAAGGGGCCUGGGUUUCUGAAGACCCUGUAAGACAGAUCUCCUUGCAGCCCUGACUGCCCACAUUAGGGCUUUUAUGUUAGGGUGAAGUUACCUUGCAUUGUCAUAUAAGCAAUUGCUAUUUGUGGUGUCUUGCAAAUAAACCUAUUCUGAUCUAGUAUGUUUCCU
rnacentral:lncRNA from 10 species